CUCUCUCAUACAAUCUGGAAAAUAUUUUUCGUUAAACUUUUCUUGGAAUAACUUCUAUGUCAUUGGCUCAUGUUUGAUUUCAGACAUCCUCUUAAUCAUUCUCCACCAGUGUUCAGCUUCUCCUUCCAGCAUAAAGGUGGCAAGAAAAACCUUUCGAUCAUCAGGGUAAUUUAAAGCAUCAAAUAUUUUCUCUAUCUGCAUCAUCCAUCGUUCUGCCACCAUUGGAUCAGACUCACCACUAAAACUAGGAGGACUAAGCUUCUUAAACUGUCCAAUUCCCAACCUCGUCUGGUUUGAUGUCUCUGUUCCAUCAUUACUUCCUUGUUGGACAGGUUAUUGUUGUUGUUGCAUCACUUGUGCCAUAGUCUCCAAAGUCCGCAUAAUACCACUCAAUUGAUCAACAGUAGAUGCAACAGGAGAACCAGAUGAUCUCGUCAUCCUCGCUUCCUAAAACAUCAAAAGAACAUUUUCUUUGAUCAAUCUCUAAAUGAUAGUCAAUAAACCUCAAAUAAAGAUAAUAUUCUUAGUGAUUCUCAAAUCAUGCUCUGAUACCACCUCUGUCACGCCCCUCAAAAUAACGACAAUAUUUAAAAUUUUCAUCAUAACUAACCCAGGAUCCAAACACACAUUUGAGGUCACUAAGAAAACAUUCAGAUCAAAA
rnacentral:lncRNA from 1 species